AGGUGAUCACAGCACAGGGUACAGAAGAGUCCGUGGCCCCAGAGAGGGUCUGGAAGUUGGGAAUAUUCCCUGUCCCGGAAUCAGGAAGCGGGUGAAGGAGGGUGAAGAGAGGACAGGCUGAGCGAGUUUGGGGCCUGCUCCCCAGAUGUCCCAUGUUCUCAGCCCCCAGAUUUAUUAUCCCCUUAUCUCACUUUUGUCCUCCUGGGUUACUGUUUCCUACUUUGUCACUGUUACCUGUCUCCCCCUAGGGCAGAGGUGCACUUUCAGGGUUAGCUUCCAUAGCAUCUUGAAGGGAUUAAUCAACUAGAGCCAGCCAUGAGCACAUUAGCCACACCAGCUGCCUCUAGAAUCUAGAACAGCAUCCUUGGUCCCUAGGUUGUUGUUUAGCUCUAUCCUGUGCUUUGUGUCCUGAUCACUCUCCUUUCAACAUGGACAGGCAAAU
rnacentral:lncRNA from 1 species